AGAACGAACGCUGGCGGCAUGCCUAAUACAUGCAAGUCGAACGAACACUUCGGUGUUAGUGGCGCACGGGUGCGUAACGCGUGGGAAUCUGCCCUUGGGUUCGGAAUAACAGUUGGAAACGACUGCUAAUACCGGAUGAUGACGAAAGUCCAAAGAUUUAUCGCCCAGGGAUGAGCCCGCGUAGGAUUAGCUAGUUGGUGAGGUAAAGGCUCACCAAGGCGACGAUCCUUAGCUGGUCUGAGAGGAUGAUCAGCCACACUGGGACUGAGACACGGCCCAGACUCCUACGGGAGCAGCAGUAGGAAUAUUGGACAAUGGGCGCAAGCCUGAUCCAAGCAAUGCCGCGUGAGUGAUGAAGCGUUAGGUUGUAAGCUCGUUUACCCGAGAUGAUAAUGACUAGUAUCGGAGAACGUACGCCCGCUAACUCCGUGCCAGCAGCCGC
rnacentral:rRNA from 1 species